GCCUCCGUGGAUCAGCGGUAGAUCGCCCUGGCUAAGUCAUCGUGGAGAAAUAAGUAAAAAUAUUGAUAGGGAGCCGUGGGUUCGAGCCCCAUCGGAGGCA